rnacentral:tRNA from 1 species
GACUUCGUGGUGUAGUGGUCAUGACGCUGGACCCGUAACCUAGAGGUCCGUGGUUCGAUUCCCGGCGAGGGCA